UACGUAGGGUGCAAGCGUUAAUCGGAAUUACUGGGCGUAAAGGGCGCGUAGGCGGCUCGCUAAGUCGGAUGUGAAAACUCUGGGCUCAACCCAGAGCCUGCAUUCGAAACUGACGAGCUCGAGUUCUGGAGGGGAAAGCGGAAUUCCUGGUGUAGCGGUGAAAUGCGUAGAUAUCAGGAGGAACACCGGUGGCGAAGGCGGCUUUCUGGACAGAAACUGACGCUGAUGCGCGAAAGCUAGGGGAGCAAACAGG
rnacentral:rRNA from 1 species